rnacentral:rRNA from 1 species
GACAGAGGGUGCAAGCGUUGUUCGGAAUUACUGGGCGUAAAGGGCGUGUAGGCGGUGGAGUGUGUCUGGUGUGAAAGCCCUCGGCUUAACCGAGGAACUGCAUUAGAAACUACUCCGCUGGAGUGCGAGAGAGGAAGGCGGAAUUCCCAGUGUAGAGGUGAAAUUCGUAGAUACUGGGAGGAACACCGGAGGCGAAGGCGGCCUUCUGGCUCGUAACUGACGCUGAGACGCGAAAGCGUGGGUAGCAAACAGG